rnacentral:antisense_RNA from 1 species
GGUAGCCGAAAAUACGGACGGGGUUGAGGGUGGGAUCGCUGACGAGGCGCACGGUGGCGAGAUCGGCAUCGUACAGCCCGCCGAAGGAGGUCGCUUUAGCCACGAACAGCAACGCGCCGAUUCCUAAGAGAGUGAGGUGAAUUCCCAGGAUUGUCGUCAUUUUUCGCGCGUCUUUCCA